GCCAGUAGCCCCGUAUGAUACGCAGGACACUCAACCUUCCUUUUAACUGUCUGUGAGGUCUCCCUUGAUUUCGGCAGACGAUAGACUUCAGUGGCUGCUGCUACCUCUUCAACAUUCUUCAACGCAUCUGUAUCCUCAUGAGCCUUCGAAAUUUUGGACACGCAAGAAGAAGAUUUUGAAAAAUUCCAAAUAAACUGCUUGUCGUCCAAUACAAAGUGAUACACUGGAACGAAACAAAGAAUUUGUUGCUUUCUUUAAUAAAACUAUUAUAAUGCGACAUCUGUGAUGGAGUCGGAUUUUAUUUAUUCUACUAAAACUUACUGAUGCAUAUGAUGAAUCUACAAAAGGAAUAUAAUUGCAUCAUUAAACACUUAUUCUUAUACGAAUCACCCAUUGAGCACAUACUUCAAUAACUGCCAAGUUUGAAAGACCAUACAACACUGGCAAUAUAAACGUUGGAUCAGGA